GGAAUAUUGGGCAAUGGACGCAAGUCUGACCCAGCCAUGCCGCGUGCAGGAUGACGGCCCUAUGGGUUGUAAACUGCUUUUAUACGGAAAGAAACCCCUGACUUCAUUCGGGGCUGACGGUACCGUAAGAAUAAGCACCGGCUAACUCCGUGCCAGCAGCCGCGGUAAUACGGAGGGUGCAAGCGUUAUCCGGAUUUAUUGGGUUUAAAGGGUGCGCAGGCGGACUUGUAAGUCAGUGGUGAAAGCCCGGGGCUCAACCCCGGAACUGCCAUUGAUACUGCUAGUCUUGAGUAUAGUUGAGGUGGGCGGAAUGUGUCAUGUAGAGGUGAAAUUCAUAGAUAUGACACAGAACACCGAUUGCGAAGGCAGCUCGCUAAACUAUUACUGACGCUCAGGCACGAAAGCGUGGGGAGCAAAC
rnacentral:rRNA from 1 species